UACGUAGGGGGCAAGCGUUGUCCGGAAUUAUUGGGCGUAAAGAGCGCGUAGGCGGUCCGAUAAGUCGGCUGUGAAAGUCAAGGGCUCAACCCUUGAAAGCCGGCCGAUACUGUCGGACUAGAGUCCGGAAGAGGCGAGUGGAAUUCCCGGUGUAGCGGUGAAAUGCGCAGAUAUCGGGAGGAAUACCGGUGGCGAAGGCGGCCUUCUGGACGAUGACUGACGCUGAGACGCGAAAACGUGGGGAGCAAACAGG
rnacentral:rRNA from 1 species